rnacentral:tRNA from 1 species
CAAGAAGUAGUUUAACUAGAACGUCAGCUUUGGGUGUUGAUGGUGGGGAGAGUGUUCCUUCUUCUUGA